CCUUUUAAUAAUAAAACGAAAAAAAAAAAGCAGAGAAAAACCUCAAGACUUUUGACAGUUUCACAAAACUGAACUUUCCUUUUACUGCGAUUAUUAUUGCUUUUCCCGCCUUCGUGCUCCCUCGCUUCGACGCUGAGGAAAGGAUUUUCGAAACCCUAGAAGUUGAUUUGGAAUCCUGCCGCAAACAAGAAGAUGGCAGAAAGGAUGAUGCUGCUGCUGCUGCAAGGUGAUGUCUUUUAUGAGACAGUAUAGGAAUCACAAAUCUUCCUACUAAAGCAUCAAAAUUUAAUCUCUUUGGCAGGGGGAGUCAUUAUAAUUGUAGCAGCAAUGGAGAAAGAUGAAACUAUAUAGAUGGAAGCCUACAUAAAGAUGUUAAGUAUAUUGCACCUUUCAUACUUAUUGGCUUAAUGGAUAAAUCAAGUCACUUCUUGGAGAAAAGAAUAAUAAUAAGUAGCUUUACAUAUUAUUCUUGACAAUUAUAUUAUCAACUAUUUGUUAGGGCUUAUAGUUUUCACAUCAAACAUUAAAUUUAGAAUAUUGUCAUAAAUUAAGUGUCUUGAUUUACGGCAAUGCAUGUGUAUAUUAAAUUCUAACUACUUUUUUGGUGCCUCGAUUUCACUUUGGUUAGGCACCUCACUGCUUGUGUGUCUUAUUUCCAGUUAUGAGUUUGCAUUUAUGAAGAAUUCAAAAACUCCGAUAAAAUCAUAUAGCAUCAAAACAAGAGCAACUGAUCUAUGUUUACUUGGACGCUUAGUAAAAAGUGUUGUUGUCUUGGAUGCUCGCGCACGUUAAAAUAUUUGCACAUAAAUUCCUCGAUUGUACAGGCUCUUCUAGGGAAAAGGAUAUAAUAGGUAUUGUAGCACAAGACCAUGUAGGUUGACCACUUACACCCAUAAGUUUGGCAUUGACAUAAAUAUCAACUGCUGCUGUGUCUUACUUCAGCUCAUGAUUCUUCCAUGAUGCUGAUCCAUGAAUCCAUUGGGUUAUGACUUACAUCUGAACCGAGACAUGCUGUUGCUCUUUGAAAUCUUUGCUUGCUAUAUUCAUGAAUGAUGGGUAUCCAUUCUGAUAACAUGUGAAAUCAUCAUUUCAAUUUUAUUUUUAAAUUUAGUUUUACUAGAGACUGUGAAGUGUGGGACCUACCCACGUGAAGCAUCAUCAGGUGUGAACGCGGAAUGCAAACCGCGUGAAGGAAGCCCAUGAAGGCCCACCCGUACUCCAACUUAUAAAUGCACACGAAAAAUAUCGCCUAGGUUUUUGAGCAAGGGUGUUUUGGUUUUUCUCUCUUUUGCGGCUGGUGGAGAGAAGAAAAAGUGGGGGCGUGCGAUUGAGUGCGAAGGAGCAGGAGGUUUUGAUUUCUUCCUUUUUGCGGCUGCGGUACAGAACCGAGUGCAAGGCUUUGGAGACUUGAUUGCUUUUGUGCGGAUACAGGCAAAGUAAAAGAGCUUUUGUUUGUUGUUUUGAGAGAUAUAAUUGUGUGAGGGAUUUGAGAGCUUGUUUGAGGGU